GACGAACGCUGGCGGCGUGCCUAACACAUGCAAGUGGAGCGACGAACCGGGCUUCGGCCCGGGGCCAAGCCGCGAACGGGUGAGUAACACGUGGGUAACCUGCCCUGAUGAUUGGGACAACCCGAGGAAACUCGGGCUAAUACCGAAUGUGCCCUCCGACCAUAAGGUCUGACGGGGAAAGGAAGCUUCGGCCUCCGCAUCGGGAUGGGCCCGCGGCGCAUUAGCUUGUUGGUGAGGUAACGGCUCACCAAGGCGACGAUGCGUAGCUGGUCUGAGAGGACGAUCAGCCACACUGGGACUGA
rnacentral:rRNA from 1 species